UUAUAGGUAGGUUACCUACGUGUUACUCACCCGUCCGCCGCUAACGUCAAAGGAGCAAGCUCCUCGUCUGUUCGCUCGACUUGCAUGUAUUAGGCACGCCGCCAGCGUUCAUCCUGAGCCAGGAUCAAACUCU
rnacentral:rRNA from 1 species